UCAAAAAAAAAAAAAAAUUCAAGAGGGAGAAAAAAAUCAUUUAAGUACAAUGAGUUCUGAGUUCCUCUUCAAAGAACAAAUACGUCAGUAUGUUCAGCUUCCCUGUUCUUUGUUCUCCAUUUUGAAGUUUAACUUCCUUGUUCUUUACACCUCCUUGCCUCUAGUUUCAGUAAACAACCCCCUCCUAGCCUCUAUCACCUGUUCUGUCCUUAGGCAUCCUUACUCUCCUGUUCUGUAACUGUCCUUCCCUGAUGAAACUACUCACCCCACCACUCCAGCUCAUACACUCACUCUCUUUAAAAUUUCCAACUGGAAUUAGCUUAGACUGUGUGGUCCAACCCUAGCCAACAGGGGAAAGACACAGCAGUAGGGACUAGCUGCAUUAGGAAUAAGACGCCCUUCUCCUCCCUUGUCUGGUGUGCUCUCACCAUUGCUCCAUCUGAGAGAUGCACCCUUCUAUAGAAGUAAAUUGCUUUGCUGAGAAAAUUUUUGCCUGAGUGCUAUUUUCACUCUGUGGCACCGAGCACUUACUUCCAACAGUUUGGUUACAUUUUUUAUCACCCAGCAUGGGGCUAUAUGUCUCUACUGGUCUAGCGUGCCUGGUUUCCGAUGGAUGGAGCAAUUGGCUGUGGCAUCAUGCCAGGGCUUACUCAUUCAUGCUACCAGGCAGAGCAACAACUUCUCAUGAGGAUUAGCUGCUCGUGGCUAGCUGACCUCCCAGCUGGGAUUCUAGGGUUGUCCCAGCAGCUGCCAAGAACAUCUUUUCCCUCCUUCCCCCUCUGUGGCAUCAGCUGCCUGCAAUGCUUUAUUAGUAUAAGGAAAAUGAUAGUUGAGGAAGUUGACAGGAUUCAAGACUGGGUAAAUCAAACCAGUUUGCAUGCUAGAAAUCCUCUGUCUCUGCCAUUUGGGCUUUAUGCCAUUUGGACCUGACACAGGUCUUUUGCAGUAUCAGUUAGCCUAAGAUUUAUUAACUUCCCAGUCUCCUUCUACAGGAAUUGGUUCAGGAGUACUCUGUGUUGAUCUGUGUGUUUGUGUUCUUUUGAUCUCUCCCCUGAGAAUGGGCAACUUGACUUCCAUUCCAUCUAAGUGGCCAUUGGGCUGUAUAUUGGCUUAUUGGAAAGCUUAUAGCUAUGAACUCAUAACAAAAAAGAUAAUGAUUUUUUUUCAUUGUAACACUGUUUGGCCUAUGUAUGUGUUGGAAUCUGAAAAAUGGUGGCUACUGAACAGUGAUUUACAUUAGUACACCUUAUUACAGUUGGCGUUAUUUUGCCUAAGAUCUGGGAAAUGAAAUGAGAUUCCAUGUGUUUAAGCAUUUAUUACAUAACAAAGACUCAGCACAUGAGGGGUCUAUGUGAAUGACGUAGAGAAAAGGGAAAAAGAGAUUUCUCUUUCCAGAUAGUAAGACCCAAAAGGAAGAGGAUAUUGAUGAUAUGGGCCUCAUAAAUAUCUUAAAUUUCCCCUCCCAUGUGGUACUGGGGGCACCAGCCCUCCCAGGAUUACCAAAUGUAGCCCAGGACCCGGAGAGGCCAAGGUGUCAGCUCCUCUCCCCAGGAUGGGGAAGGAAUAGAAAUGGCUGCUCCACUUGCAGAUUUUACUUGGGACCCCAACAAUGGAGGAAUGGCCCUGUCCAGUCAUUAUAAAAAGCAUGUGUUGGCAGGGUUAAAGAGAAGAAUGUAAAAGAGCUUAAAUAAAGCCAGGGCAGUUCUCCCAAAGGCAGAUGAGAACCCCUGUGAAUUUCUGGAGUGCAUUUACCAGGUUUACCACAAGUGUAUGGACUAUGAUCCAGAAGCUCCUGAGAAUAUGAGAAUGGUAAACGUGACUUUCAUCCAAUAUUAAACGAAAACUGCAGAAACUGGAGGGGGUAUUUGGAAUAAACCUUUCCCAACUGCUGGACAUUGCCUUCAGAGUAUAUAAUGCCAGGAAGGCCAAAAAGCUAAAGCAAGCCAUGAUAUACUUGGAAUUAGUGGAAAGAAUGUAUAUCCGAAAAGGAAAAACCAGGCACAGGGAGGUGGCCAGAACAAAACUCUAGGUAAUGAUCAGUCUGCCCCCUGCAAGGAGGAAGGUCAUUGGAAAUCUGAGUGCCCCAAAUUAAAGAAAAGACAGGGAAACCAGAAGAAGGGAGACACAGUGACAGAGAAGAAACAUACUGGCUGAUGGUAAAGCAGGACUGUAGCUCAGAUAGUGAAGGAGGCCCAAAUCUUUUGGAGCAGGUUGUAAUUUCCCCACAGGAACCUCAGGUACGAUUGACAAUGGGGAACAAAUUGAUUGACUUUUUAAUCAAUACUGGUGUGACUUAUUCAGGUAGAAACACUAAAGAAACUGAAAGUACUAGGAAAACAGUGCCUGUGAUGGUUGUCGCUGGCAAGAUGCAGCAAACAGCCUUUCUCCAGACCCUGGAGAGUCUGGAGACUGCCGGACACAGAGAUCUGGAGCUGAGACACAGUUUCCUCUAUAUGCUGGAAUACCAAAUUCCUUUGCUGGAGUGAGAUUUGCUUUGUAAACUAAAUUGCCAUGUGACGUUUUUCUCCAGAAAAACAACAACUUCAUCUGCAGGUCCUGCCAGAGCAAGCUUUGCAGCUGCAGAUGCUGCUCACACACCCCGAGGAAGAAAAAGAAUGCCUCCUGCCAGCAAUCUGUGAGCAAUCUUGAAUCCUGCCACCUUGCUCCCAGCCACUGAGUCCAACUAUGAACUGGAGCAUAAUUGUUUAGAAAUUCUUGAUGCAGUCUAUUCCAGCAGACCAGAUCUGUCAGAUCAUCUGAUGGCCACUCCGGACUGGGAGCUAUACACUGACUGAAGCAGUUUCACAGAAGGAGGACAACGCCAGGCCAGGUAUGCUCCAGUGACCCUAGACAAAGUAGUAGAAGCCUAUGUCCCCGCUGCUGGUACUUCAGCACAAAAAGCUGAAUGGAUUGCUCUCAUCAGGGCCUUAAAACAGUCUCAAGAGAAAUGGGUAAACAUUUACACCUACUCCAAGUAUGCCUUCUUGGUAGUGUAUGCCCGUGGGGUCAUUCAGAAAGAAAGGGGAUUCUUAACCUCAAGAAAUAAAGACAUUAAACACCUGCUGGAAAUUUUAGCUUUGUCAGAGGCAGUUGUUCUGCCAACUCAAGUUGCUAUUAUGCACUGCCAAGGCCACCAAAAGGAUGACUCCCCAAUAACCAAAGGGAAUCAAGUGGCUGAUAAAGCUGCAAAGCAGGCCACUCAAGAAACAUAUUUACUUGGGACCUUAAUACUCCAUUUAAACUUGUCAGAAUUUAAACUCCACUACACUGAAUGAAAUGAAGAAUGCACACAUGAGUGGACAUUGACCAACACAGACCCUUGUUCCUCAUGGAAAGCUAACACUCAUGGGAUAUUACUCUCUGAGGCCCUGGUAUACCCAGUCCUGAAAGACCUGCAUGAGGGGACACACUAUGGCAGAGAUGGACUGGCUCACCUGGUGUAGCCAUAUCUCAAAGGGCCACACCUUCAAAAGAUCAUUCAAAAGAUUAUACAAGCAUGUUAUCUAUAUACCCCAAAUGAUUCAAGAACUGCAUGCAACUCUUCCCAGAGGAGGAUACAAUACAAAGGAAUAUGACCAUUCGAGGACUGGCAGGUUGAUUUCACCCAGAUGCCAAAAACACUGGGAUUUAUAAGUACCUACUAGUGUUUGUAGACACAUUUUCUGGAAAGGUUGAAGCUUACCCGAGCAAGAGAUUGAAGCCUAUCCGAACAAGUCUGAGAAAGCUGCAGAAGUAGCUAAGGCUCUGCUAAAAGAAAUCAUUCCUCGAUUUGGACUUCCUUACUCCAUACCAAGCAACAAUAAUCCUUCUUUAAUUUCUGAGAUCACACAAAGGAUAAGCCAAGCAUUACAGAUCAAAUGGAAAUGACACUCUUGUUGGAGGCCACAAUCAACUGGAAAGACUGAAAAGAUGAUCCACAUGCUAAAAAACAAAAACAAAAACAAAAACAAAACAAAACAAACAAACAAAAAAACCAAAAAAAACCCCUGGCAAAACUCUAUCGGGAAACAGAUUUAAAAUGGUAAAGGGUUUUACCUAUUGCCCUGCUAUGGAUUGGGGUAGCACCCUGAAGUGGGCUUAAAUUAAGCCUUUUUGAAAUUGUGUGUGGGAGACCCUUCUGAAGUUCUUGGCCAGGGACCCCACCCUUGGACUUAAUAAAUUAAUCAAGAAUUAAACAAUAUGUACAACAACUAAGACAUAAAUCACUAACCCUGCACAAGUUUGUUCUUUUUGUUCUUUCCAGUUUUAUGUGUCUUACAAAAAAGCCCCUUCACCCUUUUCAUCCAAGGAUAAAGUGCCGCUAAAAUCUUGGUAAAAACAAGGACUGGACCAACAACAGCCAGCCAAAAAGUGGACAGGUCAUUAUGAUGUUUUAUUAACUACUCAUUCAUCUGUUAAGCUGGCUGGAGUCAAACCACGCAUACAUCACAUUUCGGUAAAAAUCGCCCCUCCCCAACCUGACACAGCAGACAAUCAACCUGGUUGGACUUGUGAGCCAACUGGAGAACUGAAGCUACUGCUUAAGAAAAAUCUUUUUGUACUAUAGGAUUAAAUUUCUGUUAUUCUUUA